rnacentral:lncRNA from 1 species
AUUCGGACUCCUGUCUGGACUCGGCAAAACUGUUAAAGACACUUCUCUGGCUCCUCUCUGACACUCACUCUCUGGUCCGCCCAUCAGUUAGAUCCUCUAAAUAUCUCGAAGCAUCUGCGGGCUGGUUGCCCAUUUUUGGUGUUCUUUUGGGUCCUUUUCUUUUCCGUCUGCACGUUGGUGAUGUCUUUCAGUGGCUCUCGUUCAAUUUUUUCAGUUUGUUCUCUGUUCUUUGUAUAUUGUAUUUCUGUAUUGAACUGUAAAAUUUUU